GGACGGGUGGCGCAAUGGCAGCGCUUAUCUUUCCGGUCAAGCCCCUCGAACUUUCCCAAGUUCGAUCGGGUCCCCGAUAGAUAGGGUUGCGGGUUCGAGUCCUGUCUCGUCCG
rnacentral:tRNA from 1 species